rnacentral:rRNA from 1 species
AGAGUUUGAUCAUGGCUCAGAUUGAACGCUGGCGGCAUGCUUUACACAUGCAAGUCGAACGGUAAGGCCCUUCGGGGUACACGAGUGGCGAACGGGUGAGUAACACGUGGGUGAUCUGCCCUGCACUUCGGGAUAAGCCUGGGAAACUGGGUCUAAUACCGGAUAGGACCAUGGACUUCACGGUUUGUGGUGGAAAGCUUUUGCGGUGUGGGAUGGGCCCGCGGCCUAUCAGCUUGUUGGUGGGGUAAUGGCCUACCAAGGCGACGACGGGUAGCCGGCCUGAGAGGGUGUCCGGCCACACUGGGACUGAGAUACGGCCCAGACUCCUACGGGAGGCAGCAGUGGGGAAUAUUGCACAAUGGGCGCAAGCCUGAUGCAGCGACGCCGCGUGAGGGAUGACGGCCUUCGGGUUGUAAACCUCUUUCAAUAGGGACGAAGCGCAAGUGACGGUACCUAUAGAAGAAGCACCGGCCAACUACGUG